GACGAACGCUGGCGGCGUGCUUAACACAUGCAAGUCGAACGGACAGACCCUGCUUUUGUUGGUUGCUCGUUUGGCGAACGGGUGAGUAACACGUGAGUAACCUGCCCUUGACUUUGGGAUAACUUCUGGAAACUGCGGCUCAUACCGCAUAUGAGCUCCUGCUGCAUGUUGUUGGUUGGAAAGUUUCGGCGGUUGUGGAUGUACUCGCGGCUUAUGAGCUUGUUUGUGUGGUAGUGGUUUUCCAAGGCUGCGACGGGUAGCCGGCCUGAGAGGGUGAACGGCGACAUGGGGACUGAGAGACGGAGCAGAAUGCUACGGGAGGCAGUAGGGGGGAAUAUGGCACAAUGGGCGGAAGCCAGAGGUAGAAACGCUGCGUGCGGGAUAACGGCUUUCGGGGGGUAAACCGAUUUCGACUGUGACGAAGAGGGAGUGACGGUAAUGGGUAAAGAAGCAACGGCUAACUACGUG
rnacentral:rRNA from 1 species